CCUACGGGAGGCUGCAGUGGGGAAUAUUGGACAAUGGGGGCAACCCUGAUCCAGCCAUGCCGCGUGUGUGAAGAAGGCCCUCGGGUUGUAAAGCACUUUCAGUGAGGAAGAACGCCUGGUGGUUAAUACCCAUCAGGAAAGACAUCACUCACAGAAGAAGCACCGGCUAACUCCGUGCCAGCAGCCGCGGUAAUACGGAGGGUGCGAGCGUUAAUCGGAAUUACUGGGCGUAAAGCGCGCGUAGGUGGCUUGAUAAGCCGGUUGUGAAAGCCCCGGGCUCAACCUGGGAACGGCAUCCGGAACUGUCAAGCUAGAGUGCAGGAGAGGAAGGUAGAAUUCCCGGUGUAGCGGUGAAAUGCGUAGAGAUCGGGAGGAAUACCAGUGGCGAAGGCGGCCUUCUGGACUGACACUGACACUGAGGUGCGAAAGCGUGGGUAGCAAACAGGAUUAGAUAUCCCAGUAGUC
rnacentral:rRNA from 1 species